rnacentral:rRNA from 1 species
GACCUCUAGAGAUUGUAGUCAUAUGCUUGUCUCAAAGAUUAAGCCAUGCAUGUCUAAGUAUAAGUUCUUUACUGCGAAACUGCGAAUGGCUCAUUAUAACAGUUAUUAUUUCCUAGCCGGUCAGUGAUUCCUUGGAUACCCAUGGUAAUUCUAGAGCUAAUACAUGCUUACAAACCCGACUUCACGGAAGGGUUGCGCUUAUUAGAUACCGAACCAACCCAGGUUCUGCCUGGUUUUUGCUGAUUCAUAGUGUUCUGGCGAAUCGACUCGUAAGAGUCGAUGAGGCUAUCAAGUUUCUGACCUAUCAGCUUCCGACGGUAGGAUAUUGGCCUACCGUGGCUUUGACGGGUAACGGAGAAUUAGGGUUCGAUUCCGGAGAGGGAGCCUGAGAAACGGCUACCACAUCUAAGGAAGGCAGCAGGCGCGUAAAUUACCCAAUCCUGACACAGGGAGGUAGUGACAAGAAAUAUCAAUAUAAGACAUUUUGUCUUGUAAUUGGGAUGAGCGAAACAUAAACCGCUUCUCGAGUAUCAAUUGGAGGGCAAGUCUGGUGCCAGCAGCCGCGGUAAUUCCAGCUCCAAUAGCGUAUAUUAAAAUUGUUGCGGUUAAAACGCUCGUAGUUGGAUAUCUGCCAAGGGGUUCCGGUCCUCCCCAGUGGAGAAUACACGGAACUCUUCUUGGCAUUUGUUCAGGGAAGGUGUUUGCACUUCAUUGUGUGUCACAUGAUCUGAAUUUUUACUUUGAGGAAAUAAGAGUGUUUCAAGCAGGCUUUUGCCGUGAAUAUGAUAGCAUGGAAUAAUAGCACAGGACCCCUUUCCAAAGCUGUUGGUUUUUGGAACGAGGUAAUCAAAAUAAGGAUAGUUGGGGGUAUUCGUAUUUAACUGUCAGAGGUGAAAUUCUUGGAUUUUUUAAAGACGAACUAUUGCGAAGGCAUCUGCCCAGGAUGUUUUUGUUGAUCAAGAACGAAAGUUAGGGGAUCGAAGACGAUCAGAUACCGUCCUAGUCUUAACCUUAAACUAUGCCGACUGGAGAUUGGAGUCGUCAGAUUUUGACGUCUUCAGCAUCCUGAGAGAAAUCUAAGUCUUUGGGUUCCGGGGGGAGUAUGGUCGCAAGGCUGAAACUUAAAGGAAUGACGGAAGAAUCUCGACUGCAGCUAC